CGCGGGAGGAGGGGACCCGGGCCCCACAUUACCAUUUUGAUUGCUUCGAUGCCAUUUUUGGAGGGGGAGGGGUCGGAAGACCCUUCUCUGCCGAGCACAAAGAUGUUUAAUCACCGUGCAGAAUCAAAUCAAAUACUUUCUUUAAAAAAAAUUACCACCGAAUCUGGUAUAGUAAGAUCGCUGAGUUUUUACGAAGCCUAUUUUUACUGGGUGAAACGGCAAGUUGUUGACUAUGCUCAGAGUAGAUUUGAGAGAGAGAAAGGGACUCCAGUAACCCCGCAGCUCUCCUUGCAACAAUGUAUUUUUCUGUUCGCCUUGCGUGCAAUAGUUUCACUAUGUGGAGCGGCUGUUCUGAGCUCAGCUCUGUCGACUGCCGGCACAGAAUUUUGGGAGAUCUGGAAGGAAAGAUCAGGAACAGAAUACCUACUUCACAUGCUUUUUCUUGAAAAAAAAAAAAAAAAGCUUUUGUUGAAAAAAGAUAACAGGAUAAACAGUCCUACCAUCCUCCAAAUUAUAUUGAUAAGUCACAGAGUGAGAGGUAGCAGGAAGGAGCCAGCAUGUGCCGUCUAUGACCUGGAGGAGGCUGGCAGCUCUGCCUGUUGCAACGGCCACUUCCUGGACAUCCCCAUGUCAUCUCAGAUGUGUGCUCAAGUCUGCACAGCUGUUGGAGUAUUCAUAGCAUCACAGCUGGGCUUGCCGUGGCUGCUGUUUGUCAGGUAGUCCACACCAAAGGAGCCAGAGCUGUUCAUGUGGCCCCACUGCAGACCUGUGCAGGCUGCACCAGGCACUGUAGGUGCAGAAGGAUCCUGGCUCUGUCCUUCUGGGGUUGGUUCCAUGAAGCAUGAGGCUUCGUGGGAGGGUGCUUGGCAGCACCGGGAAAGGCCCAAACUUGAAGAAAGACUUUCAGAAUUCGAAGUGUCUCAGUCAGAUGAUGAUUUGGGGGAAGUGAGGCUGGGAACUGGGGAGAUGCAUGCUCCUGGGGUCUCCAGAUGCAGGGGCUACUGCAGAGUCCACCCAGAUCACUGGCCCAGCUGGUCCCCUGGUGGAGGUGUCCUUGUUCUACAGAGUGAAGCCACAGCAGUCCAGAGCCUGCAGAUGGGUCCGGGAGAUUGGAUGGGCCUUUUCAGGCGUUUCCUGUGUCAGGAAAUGCUGGUGAAAACCAGGGAGGUUCUGUCUCAUCCCUCCUGAUUACAUGGCAGGAGGCUGCGGUGUCUGGGGCUGGUGAUAGUCAGAGUGCCGGUGGCCGGCAAGUGGAGCAUCCGCGGGGUGGCCCGGAGUCCCCGUGGGGUUGCAGUCAGGUGCGUACGUACAUCCUGCCUGCGGAAUAUCUUCCAGGCGUCUACCCUAGGGCAGCGCUUACAUCGCACGCUGGUUCUGAGUUCACCGACCCACCUGAGGGAACAAGAUAAGCACGAGUGGAGGGGACCUAGCUGCCCACUGGUGACAAUAGAUCAAUCACAUGUUCACCAGUGUAGGUGGGCCGAGACUGUGAAAGGGCGGGUGCUAGGCCGUGCAUACCACCCCCGUGACGCUCGGGGACGUGCGGUGUGGCCCACAGAGGGUGCUGAGGAAGACUUCUUCACGCAGUUCUGUGUCUGCAGAGUUCAAGAACAUGCAAAACAAAAUACGCUCUUUGCCAUACACGGUAAACUACAAAGAAAAGUGGGAAAUGAUGCGUAUGAAAUGGCCGUGAUUACCUGUAAGGGGAGGCGGUCCUCAAAGCUAGCGUUCAUUUUCUUAAGCUAAGUAUUGUUAGUUUUGAGACGUAACGUGUCUUACAGUUUUUCGUCUCUCUCCAGUACAGCCUAAAGCAAGCACGCGUGUUUUGAGUGGGCCUGUGCACGUGGGCCUCCCGGUCAGAGUCAGGGGUGCCCUACGGCCUCUAGGCCCAGGACCCCAGCUUCUCGGAGGAAGAAUGUUGGGCAGCUUUCAGAGUCAAGACAAAACGGCUGCGCAUGAAACCAGCUGUGUAAAUGUGUGACAGUGUUGCCUUUUGCUCGUGCAAGUGACGCAUGCACUUUUUUUUAAACCGAGGUAAAAAUCUGGACGUGAAACCAAACAGAUUAGCGCCCUCUCCUGGGAAAGGCAGGAGUAGACCUUGGGCUCCCUAGGCGCGAGGCCCCAAUGGGCUCCGCGGUUUCAGCACCACGGACAGCGCAGAAGGGCUGGACAGCCCCCUUGGGGAAGAGGGUGGUGCAGCUAGGUCAGAAGCCCUGUGUGUGUCAGAGGGGAGGGGCUGCAGGAUGGUCGGGGGAAGCUGGAGUGAGCGGGGCAGGGCGGGAAGGUGCCAGAUUAGUUCCGCUUGUUGCUGUCCUGCGACUCACGAGAAGCGCCCAUUCGUGGUGACCGUCCUACUGUGGAGGCUGGCUGGAGGGUCAGGAGCCCCAGUGUGAUCCCACUGCCACCUGCCACCACUGCCUGCCCGGGGCCGGAGGUGGACACCAAGGCCAGGCAGGUCCGGGUAGGAGCACCGUUGGAGGGAGCUGGAGUGUCUCAGCCAGGAGCUUGGGUCCUUGACCCUCAGUCGUAAGAGGAAAGGUGGGCUGGAUGCAAAGGAAGGGGGCGGCUGAUGGUGGUGGUAGGACUCAAGUCUCUACUCUCACAGGUCUUUGGCUGAGAACGAAAAUGGAGAAGCAGGUGGAGGAGGCCCGAGUAGAGAGAAGAGGGUGGGGGUCGGCUACCCAGGAGAGCUGGGCAGGCUGUGGCUCUGCACAGAUAAUUUCUGAGGGUUCUCUAGUCUUUAAACUCUAGGACAGUGCUUCCCACCGUCACAGCACCCAUUUAUUAACUCACAUUUCAUGUUGAUUUACUCGCUCGAUGAUUGGCUACCGAGCAAUGUUACAUGACCCAAAUUCCCAGGAGCAGAACGCUGUACCGUUCAUUCACUGAAAUAUCUAUAUCUCCAUACACCUCUCUGGUCUUACUAAAUCUAAAUCCUAAUCGCACCUGACAGCUCUGAUUUCAGCAACAGACCCAGUGUGGGCGCUUCCUCCUCUUGCCCUCUGGGGAGCUGUCUCUCCUCUGAUCCCUGGUCCGAUGUGCGUGCACUGUACAGCACUGGGCUGCUUCGAGCGCCGGUUGGGCCGUGGCAGCGGUGAGGACGGCACAUUUGUCAGCAUUAAAACGGGACACCAAUCGCAUGGAUGUAGGACUCAGUAUGGUAUGGCACCAGCACACGUGGUAACCAGUUCGUCUGUGGCCCCAGCUGAGGUUCACGGUGCUGCCGAGCUGGGCCCAGAGAUCCAGGACAUCAGAGCUGGGUGUCACAUCAGCGUCAGAGUAUUCGUACCCAUGUUGUUCCUGCUCACUCUGCUUGAUUUUCCCUACUCGCCUCUCUGGCUUAUCCCUGCGAAUCCCUUAAGGCUCCACCUCCCCCACAGAGCCUUCCCAGACUUCGCAGCACUGGUUUAGACUUUCCCCAGAUGACCCACAGCUUCUGGGCGCAGGGGCCACAGAGUCCCUCGGUGCUCUCGCCACACGGCUCAUGGUGCCUUGCCAAACCCACUGCUUUGUACACAUCGCUGUUUCAAAGGGAUGCUCCGUGUCUCCCACAAAGCGUGAGGGGAUUUUUCUGUGAUCUGCACUUAGAGAACCAGGUGGGAUUCCAGCAGGGGAAACCCAUGAAUAGAAUGCGGGCCCCUGGGAGGUUUUCACUCCUGCCGGUCUGCACACAGCUUUGAGUUUGGUUGGAGUCACAGAAGGAUCCUCCCACUUCUUGGCCCCAACAACUUCUUGCACUGACUUCGGUUUUUUUCUCCAGAUUUGUCCCAGGACUUCGAAUGGGAUGGAUCUAAGAAGUCACUGGUUCCCAGUUUGCUCAGCUUCCUCCUUGUUUGGGGGUGGAUGUAAAGACUGCCCAUCUGGAGGUUGGUGUGAGGAAGUCACAUGGGCUUGCAUGGUUUCCUUUUCCUCCUCCACUGCCCAGGUGUCUGAGGACCUCCAGGGUGCUGCCCCCGGGGCUGCUGAGUUCAGGUCAGAAGUUCUGACCCCCUAGGGCUGUGGUUAGUAGAGACAGGCAGCAGGGUUUAGUCCUGUCUGCCCUUAAUGCUGAUGACAAGCUGAGGGUCCUCACCCUGGAGCGGGAGCUUAUUUUUGUGACAGUGAUGGUCACUGGGUGUCACUUUACCAGCCGGAAAGACAGCCAGCAUGGUGGGCAGGGCAUGCCCUGCCUGCGCCUUCCCUCCUUCCUGCUGCUCUCUCCUGUGCCCCUCCCUUCCCUUGGUCCUCCAGGUACCAGGCCAGUGCUAGCACCUGAGUUAUCUGGCAGCAAACACGUGGCCCGUGACCCCAGGGGACAGGCAUACAGCCAGGAGGAUGGCUGGGGGUGGAAUGACACUUGUCUCCAGAGAUCAGCUUUUUGCAGUGGGGUCUGUGGAGUGCUCUGCCAGUGUUUGUAGACUGGCUAUGUUCGGCCCCGUGCAGUGCACCCUGAGCUGGCCCACGCUGAGGCAGGCACACGGCUACCACCAGCCUCGUUGGUUCACUUAGGAAGUUGUCUCAGCUCAGACUCGGUUUCAGACAUGUGGGCUUUUCAGGGUUCUCCCCCAUACCCC
rnacentral:lncRNA from 1 species